CGGUAAUUCCAGCUCCAAUAGCGUAUACUAAAGUUGUUGCAGUUAAAAAGCUCGUAGUUGGAUUUCUGCGGGGACGGAGCGGCCGGACGCAACUUGCGUCUCGAGCUAGCGCUUUCCCCGCAUCCUGCCGCGAACCGUGCUACCAUUAGCUUGGUGGCGCUGGGGAUCGGCUCGAUUACUUUGAGAAAAAUAGAGUGUUCAAAGCAGGCCACACGCCUUGAAUAAGUUAGCAUGGAAUAAUGAUUAAGGACUUCGGUUCUAUUUUGUUGGUGUUCGGGACUGAAGUAAUGAUUGAUAGGGACAGUUGGGGCGGUCUGUAUUCCAAAGCGAGAGGUGAAAUUCUUAGACCUUCGGAAGACAAACAGCUGCGAAAGCGUUCCGCAAGGAUGUUCCCUUUGAUCAAGAACGAAAGUUGGGGGAUCGAAGACGAUUAGAUACCGUCGUAGUCUCAACUAUAAACUAUACCAGCUAGGGAUCGGCCAACGUUUAACUUUACCGACUUGGUCGGCACCUUAUGAGAAAUCAAAGCAUCUGGGUUCCGGGGGGAGUAUGGUCGCAAGGCUGAAACUUAAAGGAAUUGACGGAAGGGCACCACCAGGCGUGGAGCCUGUGGCUUAAUUUGACUCAACACGGGAAAACUUACCAGGUCCAGACAUAGGAAGGAUUGACAGAUUGAUAGCUCUUUCUUGAUUCUGUGGGUGGUGGUGCAUGGCCGUUUUUAGUCGGUGAAGUGAUUUGUCUGCUUAAUUGCGUUAACGGACGAGACCCCAGCCUGCUAAAUAGCGCGGCCGAGCUUUGCUCGGUGUGAGCUUCUUAGAGGGACCAUGAUGCGCGAUAGCACAAGGAAGUUUGGGGCAACAACAGGUCUGUGAUGCCCUUAGAUGUUCUGGGCCGCACACGGGCUACACUGGCGCCUGCAACGAGCAUAUCAGCUGGCCCGAGAGGGUCUUGGCUAAUCUUUGGAACCGGCGCCGUGCUUGGGAUUGACCAUUGCAAUUGUUGGUCAUGCAACGAGGAAUGCCUUGUAAACGCGAGUCAUCAGCUCGCAUUGAAUACGUCCCUGCUCCUUGUACACACCGCCC
rnacentral:rRNA from 1 species